GUAGUCCACGCAGUAAACGAUGAGUGCUAGGUGCUGGGUGUAUGCUCAGUGCCGUAGCUAACGCGUUAAGCACUCCGCCUGGGAAGUACGGUCGCAAGAUUAAAACUCAAAGGAAUUGACGGGGACCCGCACAAGCGGUGGAACAUGUGGUUUAAUUCGAUGCUACGCGAAAAACCUUACCAAGCCUUGACAUGCUAGUCGUACGACUAUGAAAGUAGUCAGUCAGUUCGGCUGGACUAGCACAGGUGCUGCAUGGCUGUCGUCAGCUCGUGUCGUGAGAUGUUGGGUUAAGUCCCGCAACGAGCGCAACCCUUACCCUUAGUUGCUAGCAGGUAAUGCUGAGUACUUUAAGGGAACUGCCGGUGACAAGCCGGA
rnacentral:rRNA from 1 species